GAGAUUCCCCCAGUAGCGGCGAGCGAACGGGGAGCAGCCCAGAGCCUGAAUCAGUGUGUGUGUUAGUGGAAGCGUCUGGAAAGGCGUGCGAUACAGGGUGACAGCCCCGUACACAAAAAUGCACAUGCUGUGAGCUCGAUGAGUAGGGCGGGACACGUGGUAUCCUGUCUGAAUAUGGGGGGACCAUCCUCCAAGGCUAAAUACUCCUGACUGACCGAUAGUGAACCAGUACCGUGAGGGAAAGGCGAAAAGAA
rnacentral:rRNA from 1 species